rnacentral:lncRNA from 1 species
CAUAAAUUAAUACUAAAACAUAGUCAUAGAAAAUGGAAUGCAUUACAAAGGAUUAUAUCCAUAAUAAGAAAUACUGAUUUGUCAAAGACUGAAUAAUUUUAAUAUUUCAUUUACUGUUAUCUGUUUUUGUCCAUUUUAAUUCCUUGUUAUCUGUUAUGAGCCAAAUCAAUUUGCUGUUUUGCUGUUAUUGGGACCCCCUUGCCCCCCCCUCUUUUGAACAGCCAAC